rnacentral:rRNA from 1 species
GCUCUGACCUCGCGGGAAGAGUGCAUUUAUUAGAUCAAAACCAAGCGGCUUCGGCCGUCUACCACUGACUUAAAGUAACUAAGCUGAUCGUAUGGUCUUGUACCGACGACGUAUCUUUCAGGUAUCUGCCUUAUCAACUUUCGAUGGUAGUGUAGUGGACUACCAUGGUUGUGACGGGUAACGGAGGAUAAGGGUUCGACUCCGGACAGGGAGCUUGAUACACGGCUACCAUGUCUAAGGACAGCAGCAGGCGCGCAAAUUACCCACUCUCAGAACGAGGAGGUAGUGACGAAAAAUAACGAGACCGUUCUCUAUGAGGCCGGUCAUCGGAAUGGGUACAAUCUAAACCCUUUAACGAGUAUCUAUGAGAGGGCAAGGCUGGUGCCCGCAGCCGCGGUAAUUCCAGCUCUCAAAAUGCAUAGAAUUAUUGCUGCGGUUAAAAAGCUCGUAGUUGGAUCUGUGCUGGGAACUGGGUCCGCCUUCGGGUGUGCACUCGGAUUCCCGGCUUUUUGCUGGUUUUCCCGUUGUGGCCUUUACCGGGAGCGGCGGGUGUGCUGGCGAGUUUACCUUGAAAAAAACUAAGUGCUUAAUACAGGCGAUUUGCUUGAAUGUGGUGAGUGGAAUAGUAUAAAACGACUUCGGUUCUCUUUUAUUGGAUUUACUAGCUGAGAUCAUGUCUAACAGAGACAAACGGGAGCCUUCGUAUCGCUGCGGGAGAGGUGAAACUCUUGCACUGCCCGAGACGUACUCCUGAGAAAGCAUUUGACGACGAAUGUCUUCAUGAAUCUAGAACAAAAGUCAGAGGCUGAAAGGCGAUCAUGAUCACCGCCCUAGUCCUGACCGUAAUCGAUGUCAACUAGCGAUCCGCCGGCGGAUAUUUCGCCCUGGUGGGGAGCUUCCCGGAAACGAAAGUCUUCCCGUUCCGGGGGAAGUAUGGUUGCAAGGCUGAAACUUAAAGGAAUUGACGGAAGGGCACCACCAGGAGUGGAGCCUGCGGCUUAAUUUGACUCAACACGGGAAAACUCACCCGGCCCGGACAUCGUGAUGAUUGUAGAUUGAAAGCUCUUUCUUGAUUCGGUGGUUGGUGGUACAUGGCCCUUCUUAGUUCGUGGAGUGAUUUGUCUGGUUUAUUCCAAUAACGAGCGAGACUCUAGCUAACUAAAUUAUUCUGGUCAUUAAUACUGACGACAAGACUUCUAGAGGGAUUUCCGGUGUUCAGCCGCCACGAGAUGGAGCAAUAACAGGUCUGUGAUGCCCUAAGAUGUCGGGGGGCGGCCACGCGCGCUACACUGGCGACAUCAGCGGGCUUUUCCUAUUUCGAAAGAGAUGGGUAAACCGUUGAAAUUUUGUCGUGAUGGGGAUCGAAAAUUCCAAUUAUUUUUCUUGAACGAGGAAUUCCAAGUAAUUGCGAGUCAUCACCUCGCGUGGAUUACGUCCCUGCCCUUGGUACACACCCCCGGUCGCUGCCCGGGAUUGAGCCAUUUCGAGAAAAUCGGGGAUGGCUGAUUUCUGUUCUUUCGGGACCAGACUUGGGCGAAAACCGAUUUAUUCGCAGUGGCUGGAACCGGCCAAAAGUCGUAACAAGGUAGCUGUAGGUGAACCUGCAGCUGGAUCACUAACGAUCUGAUGUUCCUACGCUUCCAUUUUAAGCAAGGUGCUAGUUACUUGCUUAGCAAGUUCCGUCUAGCCACGCUCCAUGCAAGAGGAGAAGGUUGGACCGCUAAACUAAACGGCCACGCAGGUUUCUAUCACACAGGUUGAGCAGUUGUGACUGUCCGUGGCUGCUAUGAUACAGUGUGAGUGCGCUUCGAGCGAAGAAUUAAAGAGCGCACGCAAGGUGCCGCCUGCCUAUUACCCUAUUUUUUAUUAUUUUUAUGUAAAGAAUAACAGUCUUAUCGGUGGAUCACUCGGUUCGUGGAUCGAUGAAGAACGCAUCUAAAUGCGAUAAAUACCGUGAACUGAAGACAUUUUGAACGGAAAGAUUUCGAACGCACAUUGCGCCUUAGGAGUCUCAUCCUUUGGCACAUCUGAUUCAGGGUCGCUUUCCGAAAACGCAAGCAAGUUGCGUCUAAAACAUUAUCGGAUCACUGUCAAGCCAGAUGACAUUGUGUUCUCGUAUAGUGGAAAUGCGAUUAAAGAGCACUAGCGCUUAUGGCAUCAUAUGCUAGUAAAGCUAUGUGGCGCUAGUGCUUCUUAAAUUUCGACCUGAAUUCAGGUGUGUUUACCUGCUGAACUUAAGCAUAUCA